rnacentral:rRNA from 1 species
GUAGACCUGUAUGAAAGGCAAAAUGAGAGUCCAACUGUCUCUUAUAACAAAUCAAUAAAACUGAUCUCUUAGUACAAAAGCUAAGAUACUAACAUAGAACCAGAAGACCCUGUGAAGCUUUAACAAACUCAUUAAACCAAAUAAUGAUUACUUUAGGUUGGGGCGACCUUGGAAUAAAAAAGAACUUCCAAUAUUAUGACUUCUCAUAAAACAAGGCAAACAAGCCNAUACUAGACCCAGCACAGCUGAUAAUUGAAAUAAGUUACUCCAGGGAUAACAGCGCUAUCUUCUUCAAGAGCCCAUAUCAAAAAGAAGGUUUACGACCUCGAUGUUGGAUCAGGACAUCCCAGUAAUGCAUCCGUUACUAAAGGUUCGUUUGUUCAACGAUUAACAGUCCUACGUGAUCUGAG